rnacentral:rRNA from 1 species
UACAGAGGUCUCGAGCGUUGUUCGGAUUCAUUGGGCGUAAAGGGUGCGUAGGCGGCGGGGCAAGUCUGAUGUGAAAUCUCCAAGCCUAACUUGGAAACUGCAUUGGAUACUAUCCGGCUCGAGGAAUGGAGGGGAGACUGGAAUACUUGGUGUAGCAGUGAAAUGCGUAGAUAUCAAGUGGAACACCAGUGGCGAAGGCGAGUCUCUGGACAUUUCCUGACGCUGAGGCACGAAAGCCAGGGGAGCAAACGGG